CCUUCCAAGGAAGCCCUUUGUUCCAGCUCUUGGGUGUCCAACUUGCAAAAAUAUGGGUGUUGGGAAACAAUAAAAUAUUCUGAAAUAGCAUGGAAAAUGUUGUCAGGCUCUUUGAUACUUUUAACCUGGCAUGGGUGACCCUUUUUGUUGGAAUGUUUCAUCAACUCGAAUUUGGGUGCUUUCGAAGCAAGGUAAAAGUCAGACCAUUGUGGCAAGGAGUG
rnacentral:lncRNA from 1 species